GAUCCUGGCUCAGGAUGAACGCUGGCGGCGUGCUUAACACAUGCAAGUCGAACGGGAAACAUUUUAUUGAAGCUUCGGCAGAUUUAGCUUGUUUCUAGUGGCGGACGGGUGAGUAACGCGUGGGUAACCUGCCUUAUACUGGGGGAUAACAGCCAGAAAUGGCUGCUAAUACCGCAUAAGCGCACAGAACCGCAUGGUUCGGUGUGAAAAACUCCGGUGGUAUAAGAUGGACCCGCGUUGGAUUAG
rnacentral:rRNA from 1 species